GCACUGCUGAGGAGUCCCAUAAUAGGACGAAACGGCUGUCCAGUAU
rnacentral:hammerhead_ribozyme from 1 species